rnacentral:lncRNA from 1 species
GGCAAUUUUGAGACGAAUGACUUCGGAUUGGGGCCUCAGCCACCUUCUUCUACACGUUUCACUGAGUAACUCCGAAAUUUCGGAAAAAACCCUGAUAAUACCUUUAACUAAUUACUUGAUAUCAGAUUUUAAUGGGGAGUGGUGUGAUUCCCGCACGACUGUUGACUUUCAUUGUAAUUGCCUGAGCUGGUUCCUGGGCCGCCUCAGAUAGCAGGAUGGUGUGUCAAGUAUCAGCUUGACAGGAAGGCUUUCCGGUUAUGACUGAGGCCGGCAUCUCACCUGUCCUGGCUACGCCAAAUCACUGCGGAUGCCGGAUGCCGAGGACCGGAGAGCCAACCGCUUUGAGGCGUGAGCUCUGUGGCGUGGCUCGAGUGACGGCUACGGCGCCGUCGACCUGGUUGAAUAGCUGGGGCCUAGACGAGGGUGCCCUUAGUACGGUGGCCAAUCGGUUACGUCCGAGGGGCGCUCGAACACGCUGCCGUCGCGUGGCUGCCGGCGGCCGCCCCCUCGCACGUGAAUCUUCUGGAGCGAGGACUGCGAGAGGCGGCCGCAUCAUUACCUGUGUCCGCGCUCAACACCGUGCCACGCACUAAUGGCGGAAGCCCGACUUUCUCCGAUGGAGGAGAGAAGCUGGACGCUGGCUGCCAGGCUGCUGGGGAGGGCGCUAGCUCUGCCAUCAGGGUGCCUGCGCGCGACCGCCAAGGCCUCGGCACCGGUGCGCCUGUCAGUGUCUUCGGUCCGAGGCUGGAGAUUGCGAGGCCGCCAGGCCUGGGCGAGAGCGAGAAUCCCACCGUGUCAACAGACGGCUGGCGUCACCUUCCGGUUGGACGUGUGCCCGAUCCGGGCUGGGGCCACGGCGGCGGAAAGGGAAAGCGUGGCUACGCUGCACCUCGCGUUCCUGCCCCUGUGUGCUGUCCUGCUUUGGACGGACGGAUCUGCGGAGGGCGGAGUCUUCAGGUGCUGGGCGGGAGCCGUGCUGGUCUGGCUGUAUUUGUAUUUGUAUUUGUAUUUACAUUUAAGAGCGAUCCACAUACAAAGUGCGUGGCGAUUACUGCUCAGAAUCCGUAUCCGCGGCUGCUAAUCUAAUCAUUCAAAACAUUUGCACAUUCACUCACGUCAAAACAAGGACAAGGCUGGACGAAGAGGCCGAGGAACUGCGGGCCCCGGCCGGAGAGCUGUGCUUUAGCUACCGCGCGGAGAUGGUGGCGCUGGUGACCGGUCCGGAGACCCUACUCGGAAGAGACAGAGACCAGGACCUGCGUUCCGUACCUAUCUGCUAACUGUGCGGUGGUGCUGGUGUAGUGCAGCAUUUUUGGAUGGAUAGCUACAUUUCACGAUUAAAUAGCUGUUACGUUUCAGUGCAGGUGGCGUGACGAACAAUGUGGUAGUUAUCUGUUGGCCACUUCUGCGGCCGCUGCUAUUUCCUACUCGAAGGCGGGCGCGCUGUUUGGCUGGGCCGCCAGGAUGUUCCCAUUAUGUGUCGACGACAAAGCGAGUAUAUUCAUGUUCUUUUAAUGCACAGAGGUCUGUUGUAUAUUUGAAGUUUUAUUUUAAGUUGACGAUUGCGAAGGGCAGAUUCAUCUUCUCUCUUUCAUUUGUGUCGCCACUUUAUCGUUCAUGUUUGUUAUAAGUGUCCAUGCGGCUUGGUUGUCAUCUUUAUUCCUGAUGUAUUUUAUUUUACGAACAUGCUGGUGAUCAAUGCAAUACACUUUUGGUUAAUAA